UGUAUUCAACUCAACAAGGAUGCAAGGAAUGAGUCCAAAAGGACUCGAACGAGAGCGUUCAUGCAAAAGAAAUGAGAUAAGGAUUAGUGUCCAUACAAGCACACAAUAAGAAUUAACCAAAAGAAGGGACACAAUAAGAAUUAACCAAAAGAAGGGACACAAUAAGAAUUAACCAAAAGAAGGGAAACAAAACUAACGCACUUUUAUUCACCAUGGGACACCAAUUCAUGGUGCAUAAUUACAACCUAAAUCAGGUAUAAAGGUCAAAAUAUGGACGACGCGUUACAACCAACACUAGGACAUGGUUCAUACAAAAUUUAACUAACGCAUAUACUACUACACAUAUUUAUAUUGACUUUUCUAUAGCUCAAAUAAAUGUAUUACUAUGAGACAUAUAUACAUGAGACAAUUAUGACAAUUACAAAUGCAUAUACUAUGAAACAAACACAAACAGUUCCAUGAAAAACAACAAAAGUUUGAGGCUUUUCAACAAACAUAUUCCCACAAGCCGAAUCUUAACUCUUAACAAUAACAAAGAAAUACGUAAAGCUCAAAACAUCAGCCCCAAAAAACUCAUCGAUACAGUGGAAUUCAUAUUGCAAUGUCAAAUCGUGCAAAAACAAAAAUGCAACAAUAAGAGGUUUCACACCUG
rnacentral:lncRNA from 1 species